rnacentral:rRNA from 1 species
UACGUAGGGUGCAAACGUUAUCCGGAAUUAUUGGGCGUAAAGAGCUCGUAGGCGGUUUGUCGCGUCUGCUGUGAAAACUGGAGGCUCAACCUCCAGCCUGCAGUGGGUACGGGCAGACUAGAGUGCGGUAGGGGAGAUUGGAAUUCCUGGUGUAGCGGUGGAAUGCGCAGAUAUCAGGAGGAACACCGAUGGCGAAGGCAGAUCUCUGGGCCGUAACUGACGCUGAGGAGCGAAAGCAUGGGGAGCGAACAGG